UACGUAGGUGGCAAGCGUUGUCCGGAAUUAUUGGGCGUAAAGCGCGCGCAGGUGGUUUUCUUAAGUCUGAUGUGAAAGCCCACGGCUCAACCGUGGAGGGUCAUUGGAAACUGGGGAACUUGAGUGCAGAAGAGGAAAGUGGAAUUCCACGUGUAGCGGUGAAAUGCGUAGAGAUGUGGAGGAACACCAGUGGCGAAGGCGACUUUCUGGUCUGUAACUUGACACUGGAGGCGCGAAAAGCGUGGGGAGCAAACAGG
rnacentral:rRNA from 1 species